ensembl:lncRNA
ACCAUACAUCAAAAUUACCUAGAGGGUCAAAUAUACAGAUUGCUGGUCUUUGUGCCCAGAGUUUCUGAUUCUGUAAGUCUGGAGUGGGGCCUGAGGACUUUUAUCAAGUGCAAGGCUGAUUUUCUGCCUCAAGGACCACAUUUUGAGAAAUGCGGGCUAGGCAAGAGUCUAGAGACCAGUAUUCAAGAUCCCGAGUAAAAGGCAUUGUGCAGAAAGGAGUUAGCUGACUCUUAGAACCAUAAUAAUACUUCCCAUACCUAAAAAAUAAACAAUUAAAAGCAACUAGGAUGUGGGGGAACAAAUCUCUCACACAGAAUUCCAAAUAAUUUGUGUAGCUACUGCCCCCUCAGGGAAUUAGAGCACAACUGCAUGCUUGUGACUGUGUUAUACCCAGACCGUUUGUUCCCCAAAGAAGACCACCAGAGUCCAGAGUCAAAGCCAAGCGGCAAGGAUCUUUUACUGCAAGUUCGAACUUGGUCCCUCCAUUCUACAGCAUACAAGAGGGCCCCGAACAAUGCAAGUGCUUGCUUUUUAUAGCCCGAUGUAAAUAGGUUACGUAAAGUUACAGAGGAACAAGGGAAUUCUUUUGGUUACAGCAUUACAAUUGGUUUACAUUUUAAGUUAUACAGUUAGUAGUUUUUCUAUUGGUUCCCGUGCUUUCAGUAAAACCACAAAUGGUUGUGUCCUUAUCGGGGAUUUUCCAGGUGGUGUUUGUACUGGGCUCAGGAAGUUGAGAGAUAUAUGGUGGGAUGUGUUUGUACUGGGCUCAGGAAGUUGAGAGAUACAUGGUGGGAUGUGUUUGUACUGGGCUCAGGAAGUUGAGAGAUAUAUGGUGGGAUGUGUUUGUACUGGGCCUGUUUGUGUUGAGCCCGGGGCUGAGGAAUGUGCCUGAUUUCUUUCAACUGCUUAGCUUGUAAGUUUGGCCCAUGGGUGGGAUCUGGGAAGUUGGAUUUUGGGAGGUUUCUUACCACCUUAACUGAUAAGAGUGGCUCACUUUUUCUAAACUGUUUGUACAAACAAUGUGAUUUAUGCUGAACACUUGCUUUUCUUCUGGCAGCCUGGAAUUCUGGUAUGUGCUAAGCAAACAGUGCCUAUGUGACUAGCCCCCACUGAAAGCCUCAUCACAGAGUGAAGAUAUGUGAAAGUCUUUUGAUUGUUUCCAUUUUCCUAGAGGAAAAAAAGAAGUAAGAUGAUCAGCUGACUGUGAGGAAAGGAGACAACAUAUGUGAGGUUUGAGGAGAUAGGAGAUAUGCAAUAAUCAACUAGAAGGGUGGGACAGAGAAUUGUCUAGAAAAAUGAAGUGUGAUUGGCAGUAGCACUGAAGGCCUACCUAUGUUCAGUGGUUAUGAAUUUAAGAUAAGGCAAGUCACCAUACUGGUAUUUUUCUCUUGUCAUGUUUAGCUGCUUUGAUGCAGGCAUGUAACCAAAGAUGAAGUUUUUAGCUAAGCAAGUAUGGAGGAGAGCAACAAAGGAAUUGAGAGUGCAUGGUAGGGUGUGAUUAUAAUGUUGGACCGUGCAUUUUAAAUGAGGUGGGCUGGGAAAUGAAGACAGCAGGUUGAUGGGCAGCUCAGUGGAGUCAAAGAACUGCUGGAGUUGGAGUACCAGAGUGAAUGAACUGAAAAGGCAGGAGUUUUAGAGAGCGGGAUGCUUGAAAUUGAGACUUUAGUGGUGUUGCAGUUAUUCAUGACAAUGUCUUAGAUAUGUCCAUGUGGGUAUAGGUAGUUGAGAUGAGGUAGAUUAUAAAAUCACUAGAGUAAGAAGAUCACAUAACUAAAGGGCCAGAUAGCAGAGAGUGUUAGAGAUCUACCUCAACAUUUAUUCUCUCUUCCUCCUUAAUAACAGAACCUUGAUUUUUUUCCUGAGCAUAUUGCCUCUCUGUAUAAAGACACGUUUUGUAGCCUCCCCAGUAGCUAGAUAUGUAACUAAGUUCUUCCAAUAAGACUAAGUGAAAAUGUUAUGUGGAACUUUUGUAAAGUCUCCUUAAAAGAAAAGGGGCGUGCCCUUGUUACAUUUCUCCUUCCUUCUGUGUAGAAUGUCCAUAUAAUGGCUAUAGCUACAGUGGCCAUCUUGGACCAUGAAGUAUAAGGUACAUGCUGAAGAUAGUGGAGCAGAAAGAGAAGCUGAAGAACUGUUAUAUCAUCUCAGGACUAUCUACUUCCAGACUUUUUUAAUAUAAAAGGAAAA